CCGUGCUAAGUGGGGAAUUAGCGGUGCCCUGUACUCUCAAUCCGCUACAGUGAGACUGAAUUCCCUAUCGAGGCCUUAAAUUGUAUAGCCUGCCCGAUGUAAGUAGUGAUGAAGGCAGGGCCUUGCGCAAUGGAAACUUUCGAACCGUGUCAGGUCUUGACGGAAGCAGCACUAAGAGAGAACUUUCAUGUGCCGCAAGCUCCCCCUGCCGGAGCCGGCUGCACCGGUACCGUAUAUAAUUUAUUGUCGACAUAGGGUGCACGG
rnacentral:SRP_RNA from 1 species